GAUGAAGAACGUAGCGAAAUGAGAUAAGUAAUGUGAAUUGCAGAAUCCAGUGAAUCAUCGAAUCUUUGAACGCACAUUGCGCCCGCCAGCAUUCUGGCGGGCAUGCCUGUUCGAGCGUCAUUUCAACCCUCGACCUCCCCUUGGGGAGGUCGGCGUUGGGGACCGGCAGCACACCGCCGGCCCUGAAAUGGAGUGGCGGCCCGUCUGCGGCGACCUCUGCGUAGUAAUACAGCUCGCACCGGAACCCCGACGCGGCCACGCCGUAAAACACCCAACUUCUGAACGUUGACCUCGAAUCAGGAAGGACUACCCGCUGAACUUAAGCAUAUCAAUAAGCGGAGGA
rnacentral:misc_RNA from 1 species